rnacentral:rRNA from 1 species
GGGUUGUAAACUUCUUUUAUAUUAGAAUAAAGUGCAGUAUGUAUACUGUUUUGUGUGUAUAAUAUGAAUAAGGAUCGGCUAACUCCGUGCCAGCAGCCGCGGUAAUACGGAGGAUCCGAGCGUUAUCCGGAUUUAUUGGGUUUAAAGGGAGCGUAGGUGGGCUGGUAAGUCAGUUGUGAAAGUUUGCGGCUCAACCGUAAAAUUGCAGUUGAUACUGUCAGUCUUGAGUACAGUAGAGGUGGGCGGAAUUCGUGGUGUAGCGGUGAAAUGCUUAGAUAUCACGAAGAACUCCGAUUGCGAAGGCAGCUCACUGGACUGCAACUGACACUGAUGCUCGAAAGUGUGGGUAUCAAACAGGAUUAGAUACCCUGGUAGUCCACACAGUAAA